rnacentral:tRNA from 1 species
UCCCUGGUGGCUCAGACGGUAAAGCAUCUGCCUGCAAUGCUGGAGACCUGGGUUUGAUCCCUGGGUUGGGAA